rnacentral:lncRNA from 1 species
AUUUUUAUAUGGCGGGAAAUAUCGUAACAGUAAACCCAGGUGACCUUACUGAACGACCGUGGGAAAAUCAUUCCUGAUUAAAUUUGAUGUGGAAUGAUUGACAGUAUUGUGCGGUUUCUGGGGCUCUUGAUCGAGCUCCAUUAACAAUUGAUUUACCAGAUUAGAAAUUUAAUCCAUUUACAUUCAUGUAGCUGUAGUCUUCUUUAACUAUUUUAUGUUUAUAUUUAUCAGACAUUUCCCAGAUUCCCAUUGAAAUAAUAUAUUUGGA